UACAGAGGGUGCGAGCGUUAAUCGGAAUUACUGGGCGUAAAGCGCGCGUAGGCGGCUUUGCAAGUCGGGUGUGAAAUCCCCAGGCUUAACCUGGGAACUGCAUUCGAGACUGCAUUGCUAGAGUAUGGGAGAGGGAAGUGGAAUUUCCGGUGUAGAGGUGAAAUUCGUAGAUAUCGGGAGGAACACCGGUGGCGAAGGCGGCGACCUGGGUAGAUACUGACGCUGAGGCGCGAAAGCGUGGGGAGCAAACAGG
rnacentral:rRNA from 1 species